rnacentral:piRNA from 1 species
AUAUGAUCCCCGGAUGAGGACGAC